GCUUGGGUAGCUCAGUGGUAGAGCACUUGCCCGCGAAGCAGGAGAUCCCGGGUUCGAGUCCCGGUCGGGGCA